AGUGACAAGAAAUAACAAUACAGGACCUUUUGGUUUUGUAAUUGGAAUGAGUUAAGUAUAAACCCCUUUACAAGUAUCAAUUGGAGGGCAAGUCUGGUGCCAGCAGCCGCGGUAAUUCCAGCUCCAAUAGCGUAUAUUAAAGUUGUUGCAGUUAAAAGCUCGUAGUUGGAUUUCUGUUAAUAAUUUAUAUAAAAUAUUUUGAUGAAUAUUUAUAUAAUAUCAACAUAAUUCAUAUUACUAUAUAUUUUAGUAUAUGAAAUUUUACUUUGAGAAAAUUAGAGUGCUUAAAGCAGG
rnacentral:rRNA from 2 species